GGACCAGACCACCACAAGGCAUCAGGAUGGUGAAAGCAACUAAGAAGAGGCACAAUCUGAUACAGGAUGUUGUGCCAUCAACCACAACAUCUAAACCCAAGAGAGUGAUGAACUGCCUCAUACCAGAUGCUGUGCCAUCAACCUGGACUUCCGAACCCAAGACAGUGGACACUUGCCUCACACCUGAUGUUGAGCCAUCAACCUCGACUGCUGAGCCAAAGAUAGUGAAGAUUUGCCUUCAUCAGUUCCAGUCCAAAUGUAGCAAGAAGAUUAGAAGGCCCAAGGUGCCUACCAUGAAGAACAAGAAAACGCUGGGAAGGAUGCUGAAAAAAACCGGCGUUUCGACUUGUGAUUGAGAAUGCCAGUCUCAGCAUGCCACCUAAAGGAGGUGUGGCAUCUGAGCAAUGGCCAACUGUGUAGAUACUGUAGAUACUACACAGUUCUUUGACUCUCAAAAUAAAAUCAAUCUGAUAUGAAAA
ensembl:lincRNA 1700010D01Rik RIKEN cDNA 1700010D01 gene